GUAGGGAAUAUUGGACAAUGGGGGCAACCCUGAUCCAGCGACGCCGCGUGAGUGAUGAAGGCCUUCGGGUCGUAAAGCUCUGUUGCAGGGGAAGAACACAAUGACGGUACCCUGCUAGAAAGGAUCGGCUAACUUCGUGCCAGCAGCCGCGGUAAGACGAGGGAUCCUAGCGUUGUUCGGAAUUAUUGGGCGUAAAGCGGGUGCAGGUGGCUUGGUAAGUCAGAUGUGAAAGCCUGGGGCUUAACCCCAGAAGUGCAUUUGAUACUGCUGAGCUUGAGUGCUGGAGAGGCUAUUAGAAUUCCUGGUGUAGUGGUGAAAUACGUAGAUAUCAGGAGGAAUACCGGAGGCGAAGGCGGAUAGCUGGCCAGACACUGACACUCAGACCCGAAAGCGUGGGGAUCAAACAGGAUUAGAAACUCCGGUAGUCC
rnacentral:rRNA from 1 species